rnacentral:rRNA from 1 species
UACGGAGGGUCCAAGCGUUAUCCGGAUUUAUUGGGUUUAAAGGGUUCGUAGGCGGGAUAUUAAGUCAGUGGUGAAAGCCCACAGCUCAACUGUGGAACUGCCAUUGAUACUGAUAUUCUUGAGUUUAUUUGGAGUUAGCGGAAUAUGUCAUGUAGCGGUGAAAUGCUUAGAUAUGACAUAGAACACCGAUCGCGAAAGCAGCUAACUAAGAUAAUACUGACGCUGAGGAACGAAAGCGUGGGGAGCGAACAGG